CAGGCUUAACACAUGCAAGUCGAGGGGCAGCAUGGUCUUAGCUUGCUAAGGCCGAUGGCGACCGGCGCACGGGCGAGUAACACGUAUCCAACCUGCCGUCUACUCUUGGACAGCCUUCUGAAAGGAAGAUUAAUACAAGAUGGCAUCAUGAGUCCACAUGUUCACAUGAUUAAAGGUAUUCCGGUAGACGAUGGGGAUGCGUUCCAUUAGAUAGUAUGCGGGGUAACGGCCCACCUAGUCUUCGAUGGAUAGGGGUUCUGAGAGGAAGGUCCCCCACAUUGGAACUGAGACACGGUCCAAACUCCUACGGGAGGCAGCAGUGAGGAAUAUUGGUCAAUGGGCGAGAGCCUGAACCAGCCAAGUAGCGUGAAGGAUGACUGCCCUAUGGGUUGUAAACUUCUUUUAUAAAGGAAUAAAGUCGGGUAUGGAUACCCGUUUGCAUGUACUUUAUGAAUAAGGAUCGGCUAACUCCGUGCCAGCAGCCGCGGUAAUACGGAGGAUCCGAGCGUUAUCCGGAUUUAUUGGGUUUAAAGGGAGCGUAGAUGGAUGUUUAAGUCAGUUGUGAAAGUUUGCGGCUCAACCGUAAAAUUGCAGUUGAUACUGGAUAUCUUGAGUGCAGUUGAGGCAGGCGGAAUUCGUGGUGUAGCGGUGAAAUGCUUAGAUAUCACGAAGAACUCCGAUUGCGAAGGCAGCCUGCUAAGCUGCAACUGACAUUGAGGCUCGAAAGUGUGGGUAUCAAACAGGAUUAGAUACCCUGGUAGUCCACACGGUAAACGAUGAAUACUCGCUGUUUGCGAUAUACAGCAAGCGGCCAAGCGAAAGCGUUAAGUAUUCCACCUGGGGAGUACGCCGGCAACGGUGAAACUCAAAGGAAUUGACGGGGGCCCGCACAAGCGGAGGAACAUGUGGUUUAAUUCGAUGAUACGCGAGGAACCUUACCCGGGCUUAAAUUGCAGAUGAAUUACGGUGAAAGCCGUAAGCCGCAAGGCAUCUGUGAAGGUGCUGCAUGGUUGUCGUCAGCUCGUGCCGUGAGGUGUCGGCUUAAGUGCCAUAACGAGCGCAACCCUUGUUGUCAGUUACUAACAGGUUCCGCUGAGGACUCUGACAAGACUGCCAUCGUAAGAUGUGAGGAAGGUGGGGAUGACGUCAAAUCAGCACGGCCCUUACGUCCGGGGCUACACACGUGUUACAAUGGGGGGUACAGAGGGCCGCUACCACGCGAGUGGAUGCCAAUCCCAAAAACCUCUCUCAGUUCGGACUGGAGUCUGCAACCCGACUCCACGAAGCUGGAUUCGCUAGUAAUCGCGCAUCAGCCACGGCGCGGUGAAUACGUUCCCGGGCCUUGUACACACCGCCCGUCAAGCCAUGGGAGCCGGGGGUACCUGAAGUGCGUAACCGCGAGGAGCGCCCUAGGGUAAAACUGGUGACUGGGGC
rnacentral:rRNA from 1 species